AGAGCACACGCAGCCCUCAGAGCCUCCAAAAUGCCAAGCGGCCAGAAACAGACGGCACGAUUUUGAAGGGCGUCGAGGGGCCUUGACCGUGGAGUCUGGAUCAGCCGCCGCUGCGUGAUGCUCGGCUCCUGUGCAAAGUGCCACUCCCGGUUUUUGCACCAGCUAUUCCCUGGGCUGCAAUGCAGCAGCAGCCUGGGCGAGUGGGCAACUCCCCUUUUUGGCGCAGAGACUCGACUCGACAUCCACGCGAGAGUCCAGGAAAUGUAGGAAGACGAUAAAACUGUCCACGCCGCGAGCCCAUGUCCUUCAAUAACUCCGGGCUCAGCCACCACGGGACGGAGGAAGGAAACAAGCCAGACGGCUCACGACAUCUGCAGUUGGCCUGUCACUCCUCUCCAGCACCGUCACCGCCAUUCCCUAUCACCCCCCCCCCAACCACAGCUUCAGUCUCAACGCCACUCAACCCACAACGCUGUCAUCGCACCUUGAUGGGUGUUGUAACGAACUACACCAAGCCCUCCAAACUCUGGCACCCAACCCUGAACCCCCGCUGCCACACCGCCCUUCCCCUCCUUAACCACCCACCCCCCCCCACCUCUUCAACAACAUCACCACAAGCCGCCUGCAGUCGCGGAGCUCCAGCCGUACAUCCUCUCAACACGGAGGAGUUGUAAUUCACUUCCUGGAGAGGCUUCCAGCAGCACCUGGGGGUCAAAUGUCGGACAUCGUGCGGAACAACAACACAAGGUAAAAAUACAGGGCAUCACUCUUACGUAACAUCCUACACGUUUGAACACGUCACAGGGUCUGUAACAUCCACUUAAAACCCUUUCCCGCUCCAAGACGUCUGCAAGUGGCACGGUGGGUGUCCCGUUCACCGCCGAAUCUCGAGCGAGCAAGUGGUUUGGAGUAAAUUUUAUGUAGAGAGGCGUAGCGCUGUUGUUUUUAAAGGCAUUGUACUCACGGCAGAGAACUGGAGCGACACGACCGUACUCUGUGAUCGACGACGCCAAAAUGUGCCACACGCUCUCCGGCAUGGCCUUGUGGGAGUCUUCAGGUCGGAAGACGUAUCACUAAAAGUCAUUUUUUGUUUUAAGUAUUCGUCUUUGGAACGGAAUCGGAAGAAAAACUGAUGACGUACAUUUACAUACAAGUACGUCAUCGGAAAGGGAAAGGGUCAAUGGCAGGCAAUGCUCUUUGGAUAAUUCUCUUUACAAAUACGGGUCUUUAUUUUACGGCGUGUCAUUCGGCACGACGUCCCACGUGUUUCGCUAGAAGUGCUCGGAAGCUUCUUGAGCGAACGAAUUCAUCUCUUGCGCUGAGACCAUAUGCCUUCAGUUCCCCGAAGUAUCUACAAACGCACGGGGGAAUAUUGAAUUCGGCUACUUGAAGAAGCUCCCCCACCACGUGGCUAUGAAACGUCGGACGACGUGCCGAACGACACGCGCAGUGCGACCCCGAAAACACAUCGCACGAGAGAGGGGCGUUUUUGCCCACACCGCGGUAGUGUAGCGGUUACUGCACUGCGCUAUGAACCCGGUAACUGCAGUUUGAUUCCUACUCACGUGGCGAUUAUCCGAACUGGGCCUGGGCCUCCCCUAGGUCGACUCAGCCUCAAAUUAGUACCUGGUGUGGCUGUGUAAACAUCACCACUGAAGAGACAAAGGCGGUCGGGCGUGGGGCUGCCCACCCACCCCCUCGUGUGCCGUGCCAUGCCGGCCCUUCACAGGUGCUACUCGCUAACAGCACUUGCCCCAACAGUCUCUCCAGGCUACAUGGGGGAUCUUUGGCUUCCACCGGUGCACGUGGGGCAGCAGGAAGAGAGGCCAAGGGCGCGCGGAGAGCUUGGCCGUGCGUUGGUGCAGAACAGCGUCGAGCGUGUUGGCGGGGCACAGUGCGUACUUUUGUGCGCGCGUUUAGACGGCCCCGGGUCGGCCUGAAGUUUGGCACCCACUCUGCCCCUGACUGAGCCCGUUUUUGCCUUGAGCUGAUGGUUUGAAUUUCCAACUCCCUCCAGCUGCGCUCUUAGAUUCUUAUUUUUUUUGUUCACAGGGAGUUGGUCAAAACGUGGUGCCCACCGUUGAGUGGAUGUUGCUGAUCGUGCCAUGGUAUUACGCACGUGCAGGAGGUCACGACAAUAAGAAAAAUAAUACCCUUUAUUCAAGAAGACUCUCGUUUUUUUAAGGCGGCUCCUGCGUUGUUUCGCGAGUUCCAUUGAUGAACGGUGUAAGGGGGAGAAUCGGGCUGCUCGGAUAAAUCGCGACGGGGAAAUACGCAAAGCUCCACACAGAUGUAUUUAAGAAUCCAUUGACGUACUGUCAUCACCUGGCCACCUCACCUUCCAAGGUUUACAAUGCCAGGUAUUCCCAGGAAAUAUACACACACCGUGUGCCCAUGCAAUAGACCGCAUCUUAAAAAUGUCCAGUUCAGUGUAAUUAAUAUACAAGUAAAACAAUUAAAGAAUAUUUGUUAAAGGGUUUUUUUGGCUGGGUAAAAACCAUUCCACUUAAUUGUUAUACCCAAUAUGUUCCACUAUAUGCACUCAAUGUACACAUAUAUACGACACGUUACAUUGACCUGGCUAAUUUUCGUCAGAAAAUAAAAAUGACCCAGAAUCUGCCAAAUCAAAAGCUAAGCAAGCUUGAGCCUGGAUAUUGAUACAUUGCACUGUGUAUGUGUACUGUAUAGAACAGGGGUCGGCAACCAAAAUAACAAGAAGAGCCAUUUCUUUCCAAUUCAGGUACAAAAGUCAGUAUUUCAAGAGCCGCAAUGCAUCUGAGUACAUACGUACUCAUCGUCAAGAAGCAGCCCGUAAAGAGCCGCAUGCGGCUCCGGAGCCGUAGGUUGCCGACCACUGGUAUAGAAUCUGAAUAUUUAUAUUGGAUGAAUCACAGAUGUUCAGUAGGUGUGUGCCUGUAUAUAUAGGGACAAUUGUUGCAGUGAUGAGCACGCGAUCCGAAUUCAAUUCGGGGCCACAGCGAUCGCGAGUGGCGAGUGAUAUCCAAACCCUUUCUGGGUCCCCCCUAGGUCGACUCAGCCGUUAACGAGUACCUGGUGCAGUGUAUAUAUACAUCCGCCCUGGAGAGACAAAGGCGGCCCGGUUCUGUUUCACACCGACCUCUCGUGUGCCUUGUCGUCGGCCUUCAUGUGUGCUCGCCAAAAGCACUUUUCCCAACAGCCUGUUGUCAAGGCUACACGUUUGUAAGACAACUACGUACGA